rnacentral:rRNA from 1 species
AUCAGUUAUAACCUACUUGAUCGUGUGACUUUAUUCGGAUAACCCUAGUAAUUCUAGAGCUAAUACGUGCUAAAAGCCUUAACUUCCAGCAAUGGGGGAAGAGGUGUAUUUAUUAGAAACUAAAACCAAUCAGCUUCGGCUGUUUGAGAUGAUUCAUAAUAACUCGGCAAAUUACGGGAAAAUUCCUGUGAUGAUUCAAACGGAUUUCUGACCUAUCAACUUUAGAUGGCAAAGUAGGGGUUUGCCAUGGUGACAACGGGUGACGGGGAAUUAGGGUUCGAUUCCGGAGAGGGAGCCUGAGAAACGGCUACCACUUCCAAGGAAGGCAGCAGGCGCGCAAAUUACCCAAUGCUAAUUCGGCGAGGUAGUGACAAGAAAUACCAAUGUAGGACCCAACGGGUACUACGUUUGGAAUGAGAACAAUUUAAAAACCUUAACGAGGAACAAUUGGAGGGCAAGUCUGGUGCCAGCAGCCGCGGUAAUUCCAGCUCCAAUAGUGUAUAUUAAAGUUGCUGCGGUUAAAAAGCUCGUAGUUGGAUUACGAAGUGGUGUUUAAAUGUCAUUUUGGUUUGUUUGUCUUUCGGGGCAUUCAGGUCAACUUGGCUUUUACUCACUGUUGUCAUUGUCUUUGCCCAAGGUAUAUGCCUUGUGUGCAUGGCAUUGACCUUCUAUUUUAUGGUAAUGUUGUAUCUUUCGGGGUACAUUCAUUCCAUAUAGUUUACUUUGAAAAAAUUAGGGUGUUUAAAGCAGGCGAAAAGGCUUCGGAAUAUAUUAGCAUGGGAUAAUAGAAUACGAUCUAGGUCGUAAUUUGUUGGUUUCUACGGCUUAGGUAAUGAUUGACAGGGAUAGUUGGGGUCGCUCGUAUUGAGUUGUCAGAGGUGAAAUUCUAGGAUUAACUCAAGACGAACUAAUGCGAAAGCAUUCGGCAAGGAUGUUUUCAUUAAUCAAGAACGAAAGUUGGGGGAUCGAAGAUGAUCAGAUACCGUCGUAGUCUCAACUGUAAACUAUGUCGACCGAGGAUCCGGUAGCGUUACAUGGAUGACCUUCCGGGCACUCUGUGAGAAAUCAUAAGUAUUUGGAUUUCGGGGGGAGUAUGGUCGCAAGGCUGAAACUUAAAGGGAUUGACGGAAGGGCACCACCAGGAGUGGAAUCUGCGGCUUAAUUUGACCCAACACGGGAAAACUUACCAGGUCCGGACACAGUGAGGAUUGACAGAUUGAGAGCUCUUUCUUGAUUUUGUGGGUGGUGGUGCAUGGCCGUUUUUAGUUGGUGGAGUGAUUUGUCUGGUUAAUUCCGUUAACGAACGAGACCUUAACCUAUUAAAUAGCUGCGCGAACCCAGGUUCUUUAACCAUUCUCUCCUUCGGGGGGGCGUGGUAUCA